CACUAAAAAUGCGUCUCAACAAUUUGGGGGCUCGUUCCGGGAUACAGGGAGUUGUGAGGAGAACAUCGAGAGGACCAUUCGGACCUAAACAUUUUCUUCAUGGACAAAGGACAAAGACACUAGCCGGCACUUACAAAUAAGGCAGGAGGUUUCCAGGGCCCCAGUCCAAGCUUAUUGGAAUCAAAGGUGAUGAUCAGUCAUUAACCCACACGCAGUAUUUCCAUGCUUUACAAGCCCUUGUUGCAGAGUAUGCCAAGCAGGUGGGGGAGAGAAACAAGGAAGACACAGCGACCCCACCAAGCACAGAGUGGGUCCUACUGAAGGUGCUCAAGUGAAAGUGGACCGAACCCAGGUGGACGGGUCCAUAUCGAGUGACUGAACGCACCUCGCAUGCUGUUCGGCUGAACGGCAAGGGAGACACGUGGUUCCACUGGAGCCAGUGUGCAGCGGCGGACGCCCCUGCACGCACGUUGGGAGAGACACGUACCGAGUUACGUGAACAACAACAACGGGAGAAGACCACCAAUCAACAAGGGGCAGAAUAAUCCCCUGGUGGCAUCAGGGUGAGGUAGUCUACCCAAAAUCCCUGUGGGAGGAGGUGAAAUAGCGCUCCUCUCCUACACGUGGUGUGCCAAACCACCAACCAGAUUCGUCGAGGGACCAAGAAGAUCGUGACAACCAUCGACCUCCUUAUUCUCUGUUGGUUUGGGGUACUCAUGGUCUUUCUUUGGGCCCUGAUACAUCUGUCCAUCACGGGUACAACUCAAGUUUAAGGUGCCACUAAGUAUUAGUACUUAGUCGAAUUUUUAAGUACAUAUUAUACGAUGUUUUGAUUUGUGAUCUCUAUUAGAGAUCAAAAGGGGGAUUAAUGAGUGUACACAGCUUCAUGUCUGAGAGUUCAGAGUUGUCUGAGAGUUCAGAGUGUACCAAACAAAACAGGAAACGUCCUGACCUCAAAUUGACUCAGUGUGCCAAACACUGCACCUACAGGAAACAGAUGUUUGAGCAAUAACGAAAAUAACAGGAAACCAAGCAAACACUGCACAUACAGGAAACAGAUGCUUGAGCAACAACCAACUUAACAGGAAACCAAGAGUACUUCCUAGACACGAGACACAUAGCAACUGACGUCAGUCAGUAGACUGACCAAUCAGAUAACUACUAGCACAGUGUAUAUAAGCUGCUGUACAACAAACUAUCAGACAAAUCGCUUUGGGUUUUCCUGGUACUACUGUUCAAGUGUACUAUACGAUCUCCGCUCUCUGCAGACUGCGUUCAAUAAAAUACUUCUACUUGACUCAA